rnacentral:rRNA from 1 species
AUUGAACGCUGGCGGCAGGCCUAACACAUGCAAGUCGAGCGAGCGGCGGACGGGUGAGUAAUGUAUGGGGACUGCCCGAUAGAGGGGGAUAACUACUGGAAACGGUAGCUAAUACCGCAUACUAUCGGAUAACCCAUAUGGGAUCAGCUAGUAGGUGAGGUAAUGGCUCACCUAGGCGACGAUCCCUAGCUGGUCUGAGAGGAUGAUCAGCAGCACUGGGACUGAGACACGGCCCAGACGCCUAGGGAGGGAGCAGGGGGGAAUCGUGCAGAAGGGGCGCGAGCUUGAUGCAGCCAUGCGGAGUGUAUGAAGAAGGCCCUAGGGUUGUAAAGGACUGUCAGUGGGGAGGCGUUACCGACAGAAGAAGCACCGGCUAACUCCGUGCCAGCAGCCGCGGUAAUUU